GUACACUCCUGCGGGAGGCAGCAGUGGGGAAUUUUGGACAAUGGGCGAAAGCCUGAUCCAGCAAUGCCGCGUGUGUGAAGAAGGCCUUCGGGUUGUAAAGCACUUUUGUCCGGAAAGAAAUCCUUGUCUCUAAUACAGUCGGGGGAUGACGGUACCGGAAGAAUAAGCACCGGCUAACUACGUGCCAGCAGCCGCGGUAAUACGUAGGGUGCGAGCGUUAAUCGGAAUUACUGGGCGUAAAGCGUGCGCAGGCGGUUUGCUAAGACCGAUGUGAAAUCCCCGGGCUCAACCUGGGAACUGCAUGGGUGACUGGCAGGCUAGAGUAUGGCAGAGGGGGGUAGAAUUCCACGUGUAGCAGUGAAAUGCGUAGAGAUGUGGAGGAAUACCGAUGGCGAAGGCAGCCCCCUGGGCCAAUACUGACGCUCAUGCACGAAAGCGUGGGGAGCAAACAGGAUUAGAAACCCGAGUAGUCCCAUGA
rnacentral:rRNA from 1 species